UUCUACCCCAGGAUAGGGGUGUGUCCGUAUGUUGGCAGAGUCAACCCCUGAAAUUGUGGUCCAAGGAAGGACAAUCGAUGAACUGGCAACAGGGUCAUGGGCUCCCAAGCCUCUCUAAUGAAUGUGGGGGAAGGUUAGCCCAUUGGUCAUCCCACAGUAGAGCUAGUGUAGCACAAAUUGCUGAAAAAGUUAAUGCUGGCUAUGAUAGAAAAGUGUCAGAAUAAAAUGCAUUGCAGCUUGCUGCAUAUUAGGCUGCGUAGCCACAGACCAGACAGAGUGCCCUUGCUGCCCCCUGUCCAACACCAAAAGUGUCUACAAUGGGCAUGCUAAGUACUGGACCAUGGAGCAGUGGAAGAAAGUGGCCUGGUCUGAUGAAUCACAUUUUCUUUUACAUCAUGAGGAUGGCUGGGUGCAUGUGCAUCGUUUACCUGGGGAAGAGGUGGCACCAAGAUGCACUAUGGGAAGAAGACAAGCCAGAGGAGGAAGUGUAAUGUUCUAGGCAACGUUCUGCUGGGAAACCUUGGGGCCUGGCAUUCAUGUGGAUGUUAAUUUGACACGUACCACCUACUUAAACAUUGUUGCAGACCAAGUAAACCCCUUCAUGUCAACAGUAUUCCCUAAUGGCAGUGGCCUCUUUCAGCAGGAUAAUGCUCCCUGACACACUGCAAAAAUUGUUCAGGAAUUGUUUGAGGAACAUGACAAAGAAUUCAAGGUGCUGACUCGUCAAAUUCCACAGAUCUCAAUCCAAUCAACCAUCUCGGACAUGUGCUGGACAAACAAGUCCGAUCCAUGGACCUCCCCAUCUAAAAACUUACAGGACUUAAAGAAUCUGCUGCCAACGUCUUGGUGCCAGAUAGCACAGCACACCUACAGAGAGCUCAAAAAGAAACACAGAUUUCCUGGAGAAAAUUUACUGCGCCUGGCACAGCAUGGGGAGGAAUAGAAACAGCAGGGAUGAACAUCAGACAAGAAGUGACAGAAGGAAAAGAGG